ensembl:lncRNA
GAGUUUAUCUUCCUGGGUCAUCGUUCUGCACUCUGCACUUAGCAGGUAAUGGCAGCCUGGUCUGGGGCUCCUGCCUGCCCACUGGCCCCAGGGCCCUGCAAACAGAUGGCAACCGAUGCGGGAGAGAAAGGCAGGAGCAAGCAGGAGUGGCAGCCCAGCCCCGCCCUGCUGCCCUGUCCCUGGUCACUGCAUGUAUGUGUGUCCACAGCCACGCCGGGUGACUGCCCGGAUCUGGGGACCCUCACAGACACCCAUACCUCCUUUCUGACCUGCUGGAGCCUCCAAAGCCCCCUCACCAGCCUCUGAGGUCCCUCACCCAGCUUUCUUGUCCUCCUCUGUCCUCAGGAAGCCAAAAAGGGAGAUGACAGUGCUGCUGGCCAAGGACCCUCCCACUCACCGCGUGAGGCACCGUGCUUCCUGUUCAUGUGACUUUCUAAGUCCCCAGGACCAUCCAUCCAUGUGGAAUUAGCCAACAGUGUCAUUAUACCAAUGAAAUAUGGCAGUGUGCCUGGUGCUUGGCCCAUGAAAGGGAAGAAGGGCUGGAAAUGGAAUUAAUAAUUGAUCAUGCCUAUGUGAAGUUCAAUACUUUGGCCACCUGAUGCGAAGAACUGACUCAUUGGAAAAGACCGUGAUGCUGGGAAAGAUUGAGGCAGGAGGAGAAGGGGACAACAGAGGAUGAGAUGGUUGGAUGGCAUCACCAACUUGAUGGACAUGAGUUUGAGCAAGCUCCGGGAGUUGGUGAUGGACAAGGGAGGCCUGGCAUGCUGCGGUCCAUAGGGUCACAAAGAGUUGGACAUGCCUGAGUGACUGAACUGAACUGAACUGAUGUGAAGAAGUCUGCAUAAGAUCCCAAGAGAAGGGUGUUUGGGAAGCUUCCAAAUUGCAGAAAACAUCCAUGGAUGGGGCUGGGGAAGGUGAUGCAAUCUAACUUCAUGGGGACAGAAGUUUCUGCUCUUGGGACCUACCCACACCUCACCCCAUGUGUUUCUUCAUCUGGCUGUCUACUGUGUUUUUUUUUUUUAUCACAUGCUUUAAUAAAC